rnacentral:rRNA from 1 species
GUCCUAUAGAGUAGGAUUAUAGGUCUGACCUGCCCAAUGAAGAAUUUAAUGGCUGCGGUAUAUUGACCGUGCAAAGGUAGCAUAAUCAUUAGUUUUUUAAUUGAAAGCUUGUAUGAAAGGUUUGAUGGAAAAAUAACUGUCUCCAGAUAAGUUAAUUAGAAUUUUAUUUUUAAGUUAAAAAGCUUAAAUUUUUGUAGAAGACGAGAAGACCCUAUAGAGUUUAAUAUUGGAGGAGAAUAGAGUUUUAAAGCGGAGGAAAAUUUUAUUUUGAAAAAAUAUUUUGUUGGGGUGACAGGAAAAUUGGAAAAACUUUUCUUUAUUAAAAACAUAGAUGUAUGAAUUUUUGAUCCUUAAGUGAAGAUAAUAAGAAAAAACUACCUUAGGGAUAACAGCGUAAUUUUUUUUAGAGUUCUUAUCGAAUAAAAAGAUUGCGACCUCGAUGUUGGAUUAAAAUAAAUUGUUGGUGUAGUAGCUAAUCAAUUAGGUCUGUUCGACCUUUAAAAUUUUACAUGAUCUGAGUUUAAACCGGUGUGAG